rnacentral:rRNA from 1 species
GACCUGGGGCUACACACGUGCUACAAUGGUCGGUACAGAGGGUAGCCAACCCGCGAGGGGGAGCCAAUCCCACAAAGCCGGUCGUAGUCCGGAUCGCAGUCUGCAACUCGACUGCGUGAAGUCGGAAUCGCUAGUAAUCGCGGAUCAGCAUGUCGCGGUGAAUACGUUCCCGGGUCUU